UUUAAGCAUUAUGAUUAUAGUACAGCUUUCUUUCAGAUUAACCAUGAACCGAAUUAAAAGAAGAACAUGGGACAGUCUAGACUUCAAAUGGAAGAACGACGAUACGCACAACUUCGACGCACCUUCUGACAUAGAGCCUGACUAUGAUAGCCCAAGUAUACCGAACAACCCGCACACGUACGAAAAGAAGACGCACAUGCGAAAAAACAAAACAGAAUUCGAACCAUCGCGAAUGACGAGUCCUCUUAAUCGAACUAUUAUAAAUUUAACGGAAGAUGGCGCCACGAUCCAGUGUAGUUAUGACAACAACCAAACAGCAAGGAAGAAUGUGUUCACGAAUGAAACGAAUAGAGAUAAAGAAAAGAAGACGAUUGUGGUGGAGGUGCACCACGUGGCGCCCGCGGCCUGCGCCAACACGCACUGCAACUUCCCCCCGCCCAUGAAGAAAGACAUCAAUUCUGACACUACAAGUAUAUCAAGCACGGCGACCUUAUCUAGCGCUAUCGCCGAGGAAAUACAAAGGCGGAAAAUGAACAAGAAAACUCCUGUUGAAAUUCCGCCAGUUUUAAACCCAGUUAAGAAACCGACCGCACCGAAGCCCGUUGACGAUAAGAAGAAACAACAUGACGCGUUGAUGGACGAAUUCAAGAAAGUCCAUAGAAAAAUGUUCGCAAACCAAGAUGAGAGUGAAGCGGCACUAACCGAUUGUACGGAUGGCGUGGAUCGCCAACCAACACUACAGAUUAAGAAAGACAAACCUGAACCAGUUCCCGCAGAAGCUCCUGUCAGCAAUGGCGUGAAGCAACACAAAGAUGUCGUAGACAGCCCACCGCCCCCGCCCCCAAUGCCAAUAGCAAACGGUCAUCAAAACGGUGAAAGUAAAAAAGUCGAGAAUCUAAAACAAAAAUUAGAAAAAGCUGACCACAUUAAUAAUUCAAACGUAAAAAAGAUCGGUACCCUCAAUCGCACGCCAACACCAGAUUAUAACAACAAAUCAGAGACACAAUUACAGUACAAUUUGAAGAACAUUAAAGAAGAAAAUGCUGAAAUAGAGUCACUCGAAUCUUAUAAAUUAAAGAAUCCUCUAAAUGUACAGCCAAAACCACCGCCUAAUUAUUUCGUAAGAGCUCCGAAUGGGACGGCGACUAUGAAGAAAAUUGCACGACCGGUUUCAGUUACCAUAGGGGAAUAUGUUAACAAUGUUGGAAGAAGAGAACCACUGAAACUCGAUUUUCUCAAUGGUGACAAAGUGGACGGUCAUAUAAUCCCAGACGAUGAAUCGAUAUCAAGUAGACUACAAUCAGAAUUAGCGCUUACAUUGUCUAGAUCCAAUUUACGUAAGAAGACUGAAGCCCUGGAUAAAACUGUCAAAAUGUCUGUAAAUAAGGCCGUGCAUAAGAAAGAGGUAUCUUUAGAUAAGAACUUUCACGUCAGAUACGGCAAUAACAUCUUACCGCUGCCUCCGUCCAUCAGAAUACCUAAAGUGUCCAAAACUAAACAUUGAUCGAUUCGUGCUACAAUUCGUCCUGUUAUGCUUCUAGCUUCAUAAUUUUAUGGAUGUAAUGUAACAAAUGCAUAAAAAGUGAAGUUUAAAGCGACUAUUAAUGAAAUGCGGACGCGGGGCGAUGACGUGUGUUUGCUACAAAUAAUGUCGCAACUAUUUAUUAUUAGGCAAUUUUAGUGCUAGCAUUGUAAUUUUUUCUAAGAUAUUAUAUUGUAUUUGCGUUUCUAUAAUUUAACGAUACGUAUAAAUACAAAGUUAUAAGAUAUAAAAUAUUCAAGGACUUUAUUUUUGUUUCUAAGAUAAUUGCAAAUAUAAAAUGACCGUCCUUUAUAUCAUAUCACUGUUAAUGUUUUUGGCCCUAUGAUCGUUCCCCAUAACAAAAAAUACUGGACAUAGAUAUAGAUAAAACUAAACACAGAUUUUUUUUAAAUUAAAAAUAAAAACAUUUGGUUAAAUCUAUAAAUUUCAACCAAAGUUAUUUGCUAGGUAUGUGUAACGUAACAAUAAAUCAACUUAUCAAUUAUUUUUAGUUCAAUACUGUUUAAAAUCAUUAAAAGUGUAAAAAUUUGCAUCUGAAAAAUAAAAGAUUUG